rnacentral:rRNA from 1 species
GUGAGGAAUAUUGGACAAUGGGCGCAAGCCUGAUCCAGCCAUGCCGCGUGCAGGAAGACGCAUCUAUGGUGUGUAAACUGCUUUUGUACGGGAAGAAACACUCCCUCGUGAGGGAGCUUGACGGUACCGUAAGAAUAAGGAUCGGCUAACUCCGUGCCAGCAGCCGCGGUAAUACGGAGGAUCCAAGCGUUAUCCGGAAUCAUUGGGUUUAAAGGGUCCGUAGGCGGUUUAAUAAGUCAGUGCUGAAAGCCCAUCGCUCAACGAUGGAACGGCCAUUGAUACUGUUAGACUUGAAUUACAAGGAAGUAACUAGAAUAUGUAGUGUAGCGGUGAAAUGCUUAGAUAUUACAUGGAAUACCAAUUGCGAAGGCAGGUUACUACUUGUGGAUUGACGCUGAUUGACUAAAGCGUGGGGAGCGAACAGGAUUAGAAACCCCGGUAGUCC